UUUAUGGAGAGUUUGAUCCUGGCUCAGGAUGAACGCUGGCGGCGUGCCUAAUACAUGCAAGUCGAGCGAACGGACGAGAAGCUUGCUUCUCUGAUGUUAGCGGCGGACGGGUGAGUAACACGUGGAUAACCUACCUAUAAGACUGGGAUAACUUCGGGAAACCGGAGCUAAUACCGGAUAAUAUUUUGAACCGCAUGGUUCAAAAGUGAAAGACGGUCUUGCUGUCACUUAUAGAUGGAUCCGCGCUGCAUUAGCUAGUUGGUAAGGUAACGGCUUACCAAGGCAACGAUGCAUAGCCGACCUGAGAGGGUGAUCGGCCACACUGGAACUGAGACACGGUCCAGACUCCUACGGGAGGCAGCAGUAGGGAAUCUUCCGCAAUGGGCGAAAGCCUGACGGAGCAACGCCGCGUGAGUGAUGAAGGUCUUCGGAUCGUAAAACUCUGUUAUUAGGGAAGAACAUAUGUGUAAGUAACUGUGCACAUCUUGACGGUACCUAAUCAGAAAGCCACGGCUAACUACGUGCCAGCAGCCGCGGUAAUACGUAGGUGGCAAGCGUUAUCCGGAAUUAUUGGGCGUAAAGCGCGCGUAGGCGGUUUUUUAAGUCUGAUGUGAAAGCCCACGGCUCAACCGUGGAGGGUCAUUGGAAACUGGAAAACUUGAGUGCAGAAGAGGAAAGUGGAAUUCCAUGUGUAGCGGUGAAAUGCGCAGAGAUAUGGAGGAACACCAGUGGCGAAGGCGACUUUCUGGUCUGUAACUGACGCUGAUGUGCGAAAGCGUGGGGAUCAAACAGGAUUAGAUACCCUGGUAGUCCACGCCGUAAACGAUGAGUGCUAAGUGUUAGGGGUUUCCGCCCCUUAGUGCUGCAGCUAACGCAUUAAGCACUCCGCCUGGGGAGUACGACCGCAAGGUUGAAACUCAAAGGAAUUGACGGGGACCCGCACAAGCGGUGGAGCAUGUGGUUUAAUUCGAAGCAACGCGAAGAACCUUACCAAAUCUUGACAUCCUUUGACAACUCUAGAGAUAGAGCUUUCCCCUUCGGGGACAAAGUGACAGGUGGUGCAUGGUUGUCGUCAGCUCGUGUCGUGAGAUGUUGGGUUAAGUCCCGCAACGAGCGCAACCCUUAAGCUUAGUUGCCAUCAUUAAGUUGGGCACUCUAAGUUGACUGCCGGUGACAAACCGGAGGAAGGUGGGGAUGACGUCAAAUCAUCAUGCCCCUUAUGAUUUGGGCUACACACGUGCUACAAUGGACAAUACAAAGGGCAGCGAAACCGCGAGGUCAAGCAAAUCCCAUAAAGUUGUUCUCAGUUCGGAUUGUAGUCUGCAACUCGACUACAUGAAGCUGGAAUCGCUAGUAAUCGUAGAUCAGCAUGCUACGGUGAAUACGUUCCCGGGUCUUGUACACACCGCCCGUCACACCACGAGAGUUUGUAACACCCGAAGCCGGUGGAGUAACCUUUUAGGAGCUAGCCGUCGAAGGUGGGACAAAUGAUUGGGUGAAGUCGUAACAAGGUAGCCGUAUCGGAAGGUGCGGCUGGAUCACCUCCUUUCU
rnacentral:rRNA from 1 species